GAUGAACGCUAGCUACAGGUUUAACACAUGCAAGUCGAGGGCAGCAUUCUCGUAGCAAUACGAGAGAUGGCGACCGGCGCACGGGUGAGUAACACGUAUCCAACCCGCCUUCAACUCGGGGAUAGCCUUUCGAAAGAAAGAUUAAUACACGAUGGCAUAGAUUUCCCGCAUGGCAGAUAUAUUAAAGAACUUCGGUUGAAGAGGGGAUGCGUUCCAUUAGGCAGUUGGCGGGGUAACGGCCCACCAAACCGACGAUGGAUAGGGGUUCUGAGAGGAAGGUCCCCCACAUUGGAACUGAGACACGGUCCAAACUCCUACGGGUGGCAGCAGUGAGGAAUAUUGGUCAAUGGACGCAAGUCUGAACCAGCCAAGCAGCGUGAAGGACGACCGCCCUAUGGGUUGUAAACUUCUUUUAUAAGGGAAUAAAUUAAGGCACGCGUGCCUUCUUGCAUGUACCUUAUGAAUAAGGAUCGGCUAACUCCGUGCCAGCAGCCGCAGUAA
rnacentral:rRNA from 1 species